AGCGAACGCUGGCGGCAGGCUUAACACAUGCAAGUCGAACGCAUCACUUCGGUGGUGAGUGGCAGACGGGUGAGUAACACGUGGGAACGUACCCUUCGAUCUGGGAUAACUUCGGGAAACUGGAGCUAAUACCGGAUACGCCCUUUUGGGGAAAGGUUUACUGUCGAAGGAUCGGCCCGCGUCUGAUUAGCUAGUUGGUGGGGUAACGGCCUACCAAGGCGACGAUCAGUAGCUGGUCUGAGAGGAUGAUCAGCCACACUGGGACUGAGACACGGCCCAGACUCCUACGGGAGGCAGCAGUGGGGAAUAUUGGACAAUGGGCGCAAGCCUGAUCCAGCCAUGCCGCGUGAGUGAUGAAGGCCUUAGGGUUGUAAAGCUCUUUUGUCCGGGACGAUAAUGACGGUACCGGAAGAAUAAGCCCCGGCUAACUUCGUG
rnacentral:rRNA from 1 species